CUGCUGUCAUCUACCUUGAGAUAUUCUUCAACCAGAGAUGGCCUAAACAAUCCUCAUUCAUCUUUACCUAAAAAUUAUUUUAUAAAUAAAUAAAAGGAAUAUCUCCCCUUCCAUGUAAGUUAAAUGGAAUUCCAUUUCUUUUGAAUUUGUUUAAAAAGGAGUGGAAUAACCAAGGAAAUAAAGCAAGAGAAGGAACCUUUGGAGAGGAGAGGAUGAACAUACCUUCUGUUUUCAUUUCUGUAUAUUCCUCUCAAUAGAUCUUGUUAUCAUCAAUUUUCCCAUCUAUUUCCCUCCUUCAACUUGGGAUCCGAUGAUUUUGGAUCGAAUCCAGCAUUUCGCACUUAGCAUUUGAUCACUCACUGCUACUGCUUCCUGCUCGAAUAAGUUUUGCUAGGUUGUGAAGGAGCAGCGUGAGUUAAUCUGCAGCAAAGAUGGAGACUGACCAAGGCAAACUAUUUAUUGGUGGGAUUUCUUGGGACACUAAUGAGGAUCGUCUUAAAGAGUAUUUUGGAGCAUAUGGAAAUGUGGUGGAGGCUGUGAUCAUGAAGGAUCGAACCACGGGACGUGCUCGUGGAUUUGGCUUUGUAGUCUUUGCCGACCCUGCAGUUGCUGAAAGGGUGGUUGCGGAGAAACACAUGAUUGAUGGUCGAACUGUGGAAGCAAAGAAAGCAGUUCCAAGGGAUGACCAGCACUUGAUAAAUAGAAGUAGCAGCAGCAGCAUUCAGGGGUCACCAGUGCCUGGACACACUAAAAAGAUUUUUGUAGGAGGAUUAGCAUCUACUGUCACUGAGAGUGACUUUAAAACCUACUUCGAUCAGUUUGGGACCAUAACAGAUGUUGUGGUCAUGUAUGACCACAACACUCAGAGGCCAAGAGGUUUUGGUUUCAUAACAUAUGAUUCUGAGGAUGCAGUGGAUAGGGUGUUGCACAAAACCUUUCAUGAACUCAAUGGAAAGAUGGUUGAGGUCAAGCGAGCAGUUCCUAAAGAAUUGUCUCCUGGGCCCAACAGGAGCCCACUAGUUGGUUACAACUACGGUUUUAGUAGAGGGAAUAACUUCCUCAAUAGCUACCCACAAGGAUAUGGCUCACUUGGAGGCUAUAGUGUCCGGAUGGAUGGAAGAUACAGUCCUCUGGCUAGUGGCCGUGCUGGAUUUUCUCAUUUCGGUUCUCCAUCUUAUGGUGUGGGAGUGAACAUGGAACAAGGUUUGAAUGCUGGGUUUGGUGGGGGCUCUAACUUUGGCGGCAAUGUAGGUUUUGGCCGUGUCCUGAACCCAUACUUUGGAAGUAGCCAGAGCAGGUAUAGUACUCCUAUUGGUUACAAUGCAAGUAGCAGCCGUGGUGACUCUUUCCUCAACUCAUCACCCAGAAAUGUUUGGGGAAAUGGUGGCCUUAAUGCUGCCGCAAAUAAUGCCAACUCUGGUUCAUACUUUGGUUCUGGAAGUGGUGGUGGUUUUGGAGUCUUUAGAAACAAUGGAACAAAUUGGGGUACUUCUCCUAAUGCUGCCUCACUUGGGGGAAGUUCUUCUGGGUUCAGCGGGGGUAAUGUUGGUUAUAGAGGCGGAGAAAAUAGCUAUGCUCUUGGAGCAGGAGGGUUUGGAAGGAACACAGGAACUGGUGUAGCCACUUCUUCAUUUUCUGUCUCGAGUGGUGGCUAUGAGGGAUCCUAUGGAGACUUUUACCGUGGUAGCUCUGUUUAUGGUGAUCCUACUUGGCAAACUACAUCUUCUGAGCUUGAUCAUUCUGGGUCAUUUGGUUAUGCUCUUGGAAAUUCUGAAGAUGUGGCUGACAAAGAUUCUGAGGAUUAUGGAGUGGCCUAUGACAUUCCAAAUAGACAAUCCAAUAGAGGCUUAUAGGAGGGGUUUGGAUAGGAUUAUUGUGCAAGAUUUAAGCUGUGGUUUCUCUAAGUAGAGGAAUAUCUGCAUAGGAACUGAGUAAACUGAAAUGAUGAUAGGAGAGGAAACUUAGAGAACACGUGAACUGUUUAUUUGGUUUCACAUUGCUUGGUAGAGACAAAUAUGUUACUAUACGGAGCUAACAGGGUCUUGGAGCAAAGAAUGUGUAUGCUCAUAGCAUCUGUCUGAAGGGAUAUUUCUGAAGGUUUGAGGUUCGUUUUUUAGCAUAACUUAGGUUCGUAAGAUCAGAUGGUUGAGAUGUGAAUCAGACUGCAGAAUACACUUGUGGAACAUUCCUCUAGUUUUAUUUGUUGUGUGUCUCUUCAACACAAAAUGGUUUCUACUGCUACGCCAUUGAAAAGGUAGAGAGUUAUUUUUGUAUUCAUUUUUCUUCCUGUUUGUCGGCUCUGAAGAUUGGCGGAGUUUUUUGUCCUUCUCCGUCUGGGAUUUGUAUCUCGCCCAGACUGAGAGACUGUAUGUGAGUUUUUUCUGCUUGAUUUAUUAGCGUGAAAUAUAACAGGGAUACCCUCUUAGGUCUCCCUUCAAUAAAAAAUAUUGAAUGGUAUGACUAUUUCAUUUCAGUGGAGGUGAUUCUGUUACUGUAUCACACUUUAUUGUGUAUCAAAUAGUUUAACUAGUGUAUUACUUCCCACUACUUUUCAUAAUUCUUAUGUUGUAUUCUUAAUGCUUUUAUGUUAACCUAUACAUUAUUUUACUUA